ACAGCUUCAACACUCAUCGGUGUAUGAGUGGUUGAAGUAUAGCUCCUGGGAUUGGCCACGACUCAGCUGUUGUUACAGGUGUGUACUCCUAUGUUCGGUUUUCAAUUUUGUCUACCUAUUAAGUUAGGUUGCAGUUUGUCCACAAGGACUCAAAUAUAGAAGUACAGAGUCCAUAUUUAGUUUGUGUUAACAAAUCCCAGCACUUUGGGUGGCUGAGGUGGGAGGAAUACUUGAGCUCAGGAGUUAGAGACCAGCCUGGGCAACAUAGUGAGAUCCCAUCUCAAGUAAAAUUCUCUGGGUCAAAUCGUUUCUCCUUAAAAAUUUUUUUAACUGGGAAAACUUGGCGAGGGUAUAUAGGAACCUCCCGAACUAUCUUUAAAGCCAUUUGAUAAAUCUAAAAUUACUACACAAGAAAGAAAUACUUAAAACACAGCUUUCAAAAUAAAAUAUUGAAUUGCUUUUGAUUUAAUCUUAGUUUAGUUGUGGGCAUCAGUUUCAUUUUUUACCCACAAGGUCCCCAGACUUAGAGAUCCAGGAGAUGAACUCAAGAGCAGCCCGUUGCCUGCAGUGGCUGACAUGAAGCCUUUCUGCGUCAUCGGUGUCUUGUCUGAUGCUUCCCCAGUGGAAUUUCCUGCUGUGUUCCUGGGAAACCCAAGCAACCAGAAGUUCAUCCAAUUAUUUAUUUGCUUCGAGUCAUCCGGAUGUAAAAGUAUGCAGCUAUCAUAUACUGGUGAAGACUCCUUCCAUGUAAACAUCCACAUACUCUGGGGAAACCUGCUGCCAAAGUAGGAGGAUUCCAAAGGACCUAGAGGAAGAAAAAGCUACAAUAUGGAAGACACCUGAGUUUCUGAAGGACUGUGUGGAGCACUUCCUUCUGCUGAUGAACAUGUGCUAUGAAAAAUAAACUUAUUUUGUUUAGCAACUAA
rnacentral:lncRNA from 1 species